GAUGAACGCUGGCGGCGUGCCUAAUACAUGCAAGUCGAGCGAACAGACGAGGAGCUUGCUCCUCUGACGUUAGCGGCGGACGGGUGAGUAACACGUGGAUAACCUACCUAUAAGACUGGGAUAACUUCGGGAAACCGGAGCUAAUACCGGAUAAUAUAUUGAACCGCAUGGUUCAAUAGUGAAAGACGGUUUUGCUGUCACUUAUAGAUGGAUCCGCGCCGCAUUAGCUAGUUGGUAAGGUAACGGCUUACCAAGGCAACGAUGCGUAGCCGACCUGAGAGGGUGAUCGGCCACACUGGAACUGAGACACGGUCCAGACUCCUACGGGAGGCAGCAGUAGGGAAUCUUCCGCAAUGGGCGAAAGCCUGACGGAGCAACGCCGCGUGAGUGAUGAAGGUCUUCGGAUCGUAAAACUCUGUUAUUAGGGAAGAAAAAAUGUGUAAGUAACUAUGCACGUCUUGACGGUACCUAAUCAGGAAGCCACGGCUAACUACGUG
rnacentral:rRNA from 1 species